AGCAGCCGCGGUAAUUCCAGCUCCAAUAGCGUAUAUUAAAGUUGUUGCAGUUAAAAAGCUCGUAGUUGAAUUUCGGGAUCAAUUUAUCGGUCGUGCCAACGGUAUGAACUGGUACAAUUGGUUUCUCCCUUCUGAUGAAGCACGAUGUCAUUAACUUGGUGUCGUGGGGAAUCAGGACUGUUACUUUGAAAAAAUUAGAGUGUUUAAAGCAGGCUUUAGGCUUGAAUACAUUAGCAUGGAAUAAUGAAAUAGGACGUUUGAUCCUAUUUCGUUGGUUUCUAGGAUCGACGUAAUGAUUAAUAGGGAUAGUUGGGGGCAUUAGUAUUCGAUUGUCAGAGGUGAAAUUCUUGGAUUUAUUGAAGACUAACUACUGCGAAAGCAUUUGCCAAGGAUGUUUUCAUUAAUCAAGAACGAAAGUUAGGGGAUCGAAGACGAUCAGAUACCGUCGUA
rnacentral:rRNA from 1 species